AGAGUUUGCUCUCUGGCUCAGGAUGAACGCUAGCGGCAGGCCUAACACAUGCAAGUCGAGGGGUAACAUUGGUGCUUGCACCAGAUGACGACCGGCGCACGGGUGCGCAACGCGUAUGCAACUUACCUUAUACAGGGGGAUAGCCCAGAGAAAUUUGGAUUAAUAUCCCAUGGUCUUGGAUAAUCGCAUGAUUAACCUAUUAAAACUACGGUGGUUAGAGAUAGGCAUGCGUCCCAUUAGCUAGUUGGUAAGGUAACGGCUUACCAAGGCAACGAUGGGUAGGGGGCCUGAGAGGGUGACCCCCCACACUGGUACUGAGACACGGACCAGACUCCUACGGGAGGCAGCAGUGAGGAAUAUUGCGCAAUGGACGAAAGUCUGACGCAGCCAUGCCGCGUGAAGGAUGACUGCCUUAUGGGUUGUAAACUUCUUUUAUUUGGGAAGAAAAGUAGCUACGUGUAGCUAUCUGCCGGUACCGUAUGAAUAAGCAUCGGCUAACUCCGUGCCAGCAGCCGCGGUAAUACGGAGGAUGCAAGCGUUAUCCGGAUUUAUUAGGUUUAAAAGGGUGCGUAGGCUGAAAAUUAAGUCAGUGGUGAAAUCUUGUAGCUUAACUACAAAACUGCCAUUGAUACUGGUUUUCUUGAGUAUAGUUGAGGUAGGCGGAAUGUGUAGUGUAGCGGUGAAAUGCAUAGAUAUUACACAGAACACCAAUUGCGAAGGCAGCUUACUAAACUAUAACUGACGCUGAUGCACGAAAGCGUGGGUAGCGAACAGGAUUAGAUACCCUGGUAGUCCACGCCGUAAACGAUGAUUACUCGUUGCAUGCGAUACACUGUAUGUGACACGCAUUAAGUACCCCACCUGGGGAGUACGAUCGCAAGGUUGAAACUCAAAGGAAUUGACGGGGGCCCGCACAAGCGGAGGAGCAUGUGGUUUAAUUCGAUGAUACGCGAGGAACCUUACCUGGGCUUAAAUGUAGAGUGCAUGAGUGGGAAACCAUUCUUUUCUUCGGAACUCUUUACAAGGUGCUGCAUGGUUGUCGUCAGCUCGUGCCGUGAGGUGUCGGGUUAAGUCCCAUAACGAGCGCAACCCCUAUCAUUAGUUGCCAUCAGGUUAAGCUGGGGACUCUAAUGAAACUGCCGCCGCAAGGCGUGAGGAAGGUGGGGAUGACGUCAAAUCAGCACGGCCCUUAUGUCCAGGGCUACACACGUGCUACAAUGGUCGAUACAAAGGGCAGCUACCUGGUGACAGGAUGCUAAUCUCCAAAAUUGAUCUCAGUUCGGAUCGGAGUCUGCAACUCGACUCUGUGAAGUUGGAUUCGCUAGUAAUCGGAUAUCAGCCAUGAUCCGGUGAAUACGUUCCCGGGCCUUGUACACACCGCCCGUCAAACAAUGGAAGCUGGGGGUACCUGAAGUCUGUAACCGUAAGGGCAAGGAGCGGCCUAGGGUAAAACUGG
rnacentral:rRNA from 1 species